rnacentral:rRNA from 1 species
CUGGUUGAUCCUGCCAGUAGUCAUAUGCUUGCCUCAAAGAUUAAGCCAUGCAUGUCUCAGUAUAAACUUUUAUAUGGUGAAGCUGCGAAUGGCUCAUUAAACCAGUUACAGCUUACUUGAUGAUCGUUCUUUACAUGGAUAACCCUGGUAAUUCUGCUGCUGAUACGUGUGCACACGCCCGACUCUGUGGAAGGGUUGUGUUUGCUAGGCACAGAACCAACCUGGGCUGCGCACGGCUGCAAGGUGAUUCAUAAUAACUGAUCGAAUCGCGCAGCACCCGCUGGCGAUAAGUCAUUCAGGU